rnacentral:rRNA from 1 species
GACGAACGCUGGCGGCGUGCUUAACACAUGCAAGUCGAACGAAGUGGCGCACGGGUGAGUAACGCGUAAUCAACCUGCCCUUCAGAGGGGGACAACAGUUGGAAACGACUGCUAAUACCGCAUACUGAAGGGGGGGAUUGCGUCUGAUUAGCUAGUUGGAGGGGUAACGGCCCACCAAGGCGAUGAUCAGUAGGCGGACUGUAGGGAUGAACGGCGACACUGGAACUGAGAAUAGGCCAAGACGACUACGGGAGGCAGCAGUAGGGAAUCUUCGGGAAUGGACGAAAGUCUGACCGAGCAACGGCGGGUGAGUGAAGAAGGUUUUAGGAUCGUAAAACUCUGUUGUUAGAGAAGCGGUAUCUAACCAGAAAGCCACGGCUAACUACGUGCCAGCAGCCGCGGUAAUAC